rnacentral:rRNA from 1 species
UGGGGAAUAUUGCACAAUGGGCGAAAGCCUGAUGCAGCGACGCCGCGUGAGGUAUUACGGCCUUCGGGUUGUAAACCUCUUUCAGUAGGGACGAAGCGCAAGUGACGGUACCUGCAGAAGAAGCACCGGCUAACUACGUGCCAGCAGCCGCGGUAAUACGUAGGGUGCGAGCGUUGUCCGGAAUUACUGGGCGUAAAGAGCUCGUAGGCGGUUUGUCACGUCGUCUGUGAAAUCCUAGGGCUUAACCCUGGACGUGCAGGCGAUACGGGCUGACUUGAGUACUACAGGGGAGACUGGAAUUUCUGGUGUAGCGGUGGAAUGCACAGAUAUCAGGAAGAACACCGAUGGCGAAGGCAGGUCUCUGGGUAGUAACUGACGCUGAGGAGCGAAAGCAUGGGUAGCGAACAGG